AUACGUAGGUGGCAAGCGUUGUCCGGAUUUACUGGGUGUAAAGGGAGCGCAGGCGGGGAAGCAAGUCAGUUGUGAAAACUAUGGGCUUAACUCAUAGAUUGCAGGUGAAACUGUUUCUCUUGAGUGGAGUAGAGGUAAGCGGAAUUCCGAGUGUAACGGGGAAAUGUGUAGAGAUUCGGAGGAACACCAGUGGCGAAGGCGGCUUACUGGGCUCUAACUGACGCUGAGGCUCGAAAGUGUGGGGAGCAAACAGGAUUAGAUACCCUGGUAGUCCACACUGUAAACGAUGAUUACUAGGUGUGGGGGGUCUGACCCCUUCCGUGCCACAGUUAACGCAAUAAGUAAUCCACCUGGGGAGUACGACCGCAAGGUUGAAACUCAAAUGAAUUGGCGGGG
rnacentral:rRNA from 1 species